GUGAAUCAUCGAAUUUUUGAACGCAAAUUGCACUCUCUUCGGUGAGUAUGAGUGUUUGAGGGUCAGCCUAUAUAAAAUCGACAUCGUUGCUGUUUCGCGGUGGCGUUCGUCGGAAACUGGGUCAUCUUAAUUCCUUUGGCUUUAAGCGUCUUAAAAUUUUCUUUUUGGUUCUUUGAACGAUUUUAUGAUUUAUCACUUUAAACGUUUAUGGU
rnacentral:misc_RNA from 1 species